rnacentral:rRNA from 1 species
CCUACGGAGGGCAGCAGUGGGGAAUAUUGGACAAUGGGCGAAAGCCUGAUCCAGCCAUGCCGCGUGUGUGAAGAAGGCCUUCGGGUUGUAAAGCACUUUCAGUGGGGAAGAAAGCCUUGGGGCUAAUACCCUCGAGGAAGGACAUCACCCACAGAAGAAGCACCGGCUAACUCCGUGCCAGCAGCCGCGGUAAUACGGAGGGUGCGAGCGUUAAUCGGAAUUACUGGGCGUAAAGCGCGCGUAGGCGGUCUGAUAAGCCGGUUGUGAAAGCCCCGGGCUCAACCUGGGAACGGCAUCCGGAACUGUCAGGCUAGAGUGCAGGAGAGGAAGGUAGAAUUCCCGGUGUAGCGGUGAAAUGCGUAGAGAUCGGGAGGAAUACCAGUGGCGAAGGCGGCCUUCUGGACUGACACUGACGCUGAGGUGCGAAAGCGUGGGUAGCAAACAGGAUUAGAUACCCGGGUAGUC